ACUACGAUCUCGAUGGUCAUUUGAAGGUAAAUCGACGUGCACUCUUCUCGAAGCCUCAGAACUAGUCAUCGUUUUACCAGUAGCUUCAACAUCCAGUUCAUUUGCUUUCCAUCUGUCACGUUGCAUAUCAAUUUUUUUCAAAAGUCUCUUUAAUGGAUCUACUAAGGAGAAACGUUUUCAUUUCCAUGUUCAGUGAUUUUGGAUGGAGAUGCGGCAACGAAACUAUGAUGCAAGCAUUGAAAAGAAAAAGCAGAUUUAUAAGAUGAAAAUUUAAUUAGUAUUGUAAUGUAUACUAAAUUAUAAUCUCACGACAUUUUACGUUGCAAAUGAAUUAUGUACAUACAAUGGAAGUUCAAAAUACAAUUACAAAUAGA